UACGUAGGGGCCAAGCGUUGUCCGGAUUUAUUGGGCGUAAAGAGCGUGUAGGCGGCCAGGUAGGUCUGCUGUGAAAACUCGAGGCUUAACCUCGAGAUGUCAUCGGAAACCAUCUGGCUAGAGUCCGGAAGAGGAGAGUGGAAUUCCUGGUGUAGCGGUGAAAUGCGCAGAUAUCAGGAAGAACACCAAUGGCGAAAGCAGCUCUCUGGGACGGUACUGACGCUGAGACGCGAAAGCGUGGGGAGCGAACAGG
rnacentral:rRNA from 1 species